AGUGAACGCUGGCGGUAGGCCUAACACAUGCAAGUCGAACGGCAGCACAGUAAGAGCUUGCUCUUACAGGUGGCGAGUGGCGGACGGGUGAGGAAUACAUCGGAAUCUACUUUUUCGUGGGGGAUAACGUAGGGAAACUUACGCUAAUACCGCAUACGACCUACGGGUGAAAGCAGGGGAUCUUCGGACCUUGCGCGAUUGAAUGAGCCGAUGUCGGAUUAGCUAGUUGGCGGGGUAAAGGCCCACCAAGGCGACGAUCCGUAGCUGGUCUGAGAGGAUGAUCAGCCACACUGGAACUGAGACACGGUCUAGACUCCUACGGGAGGCAGCAGUGGGGAAUAUUGGACAAUGGGCGCAAGCCUGAUCCAGCCAUACCGCGUGGGUGAAGAAGGCCUUCGGGUUGUAAAGCCCUUUUGUUGGGAAAGAAAAGCAGCAGGUUAAUACCCCGCUGUUCUGACGGUACCCAAAGAAUAAGCACCGGCUAACUUCGUG
rnacentral:rRNA from 1 species